CAUUAUUCCAAAAAAACGCACGUAUCGAAAAACGAAUAAAAAUGAUAAAAUUAUUCCAGAAAAAUUGAUUUUUAUGGGAAAUUCAAUUUUUAUCGAAGAUAAUAAUAUAAUAUUAAGUAUAGUUUAUUUGUUUAUUUAAAUAUCUCUUUGGUUACCUAGAAUAUGAUGCAGCAAAGAGAAUUCGGAACACUUUUUCAGAAUGAAAAAUCUGAAAAAUAUAAAAAUGAAAUUUUAAAUUCAACAGAAAAAAAAAAUAUAGCAAUUUCAAAAGACAAUCCGCUAUUAAUAUCAGCUGAUUUGUUAGAAAAGAGUUUUCAUAAGAAAAAUUUGGAAC